rnacentral:rRNA from 1 species
AUACGGAGGGUGCGAGCGUUAAUCGGAAUUACUGGGCGUAAAGCGCGCGUAGGCGGCUUUGUAAGUCGGAUGUGAAAGCCCUGGGCUCAACCUGGGAAUUGCACUCGAUACUGCAGAGCUAGAGUAUGGUAGAGGGAAGUGGAAUUUCCGGUGUAGCGGUGAAAUGCGUAGAUAUCGGAAGGAACACCAGUGGCGAAGGCGACUUCCUGGGCCAAUACUGACGCUGAGGUGCGAAAGCGUGGGGAGCAAACAGGAUUAGAAACCCGAGUAGUCC